CUCCCUUCGGAGACAUUCGAUAAAAUCGGAACGUUACAGAGAUGAUUUGCAUGACCCAUGCAUAAGAAUGACACACAUAAAUCGAGAAAGAGGAUGCUUGCAU